rnacentral:rRNA from 1 species
UGCGGACAGUGUCUGGUGGGUAGUUUGACUGGGGCGGUCUCCUCCUAAAGAGUAACGGAGGAGCACGAAGGUUGGCUAAUCCUGGUCGGACAUCAGGAGGUUAGUGCAAUGGCAUAAGCCAGCUUGACUGCGAGCGUGACGGCGCGAGCAGGUGCGAAAGCAGGUCAUAGUGAUCCGGUGGUUCUGAAUGGAAGGGCCAUCGCUCAACGGAUAAAAGGUACUCCGGGGAUAACAGGCUGAUACCGCCCAAGAGUUCAUAUCGACGGCGGUGUUUGGCACCUCGAUGUCGGCUCAUCACAUCCUGGGGCUGAAGUAGGUCCCAAGGGUAUGGCUGUUCGCCAUUUAAAGUGGUACGCGAGCUGGGUUUAGAACGUCGUGAGACAGUUCGGUCCCUAUCUGCCGUGGGCGCUGGAGAACUGAGGGGGGCUGCUCCUAGUACGAGAGGACCGGAGUGGACGCAUCACUGGUGUUCGGGUUGUCAUGCCAAUGGCACUGCCCGGUAGCUAAAUGCGGAAGAGAUAAGUGCUGAAAGCAUCUAAGCACGAAACUUGCCCCGAGAUGAGUUCUCCCUGAGACUUAGAGUCUCCUGAAGGAACGUUGAAGACGACGACGUUGAUAGGCC